CAGUUUCCUGCUUGCAGCUUGUCAUGUAUAUUUUCUGGAGGAUGAGGCCGUCAAAGGAAGUGAUUGAUUUGGAAAAGAUCUGUGACAAGAGUACUUGUGCCAGAAGGAACCAACUCAGUCAGAGAUUCUAAAGACAUGCCAUGUUCAUACUCAUCUGCCUGAUGGAAGGAAGAGAUACCAUUCAUGUUCUUUUACACACUAGGCUGAAUUAGAUCAACAACCUUUAGCCAAAAGCAGAUGUAGAUCCAUGCAUGUAGCAAAGAAGACUAACCUUUUUCUUGGCUCUUUAAUCUUUUACACUUACCAUAUUUCAAGGUGUUGUCAUCCACAUAUUGGCUGACAUUGUUGAUAGCAAUCCUGAUCAAGAGACAAAUUCUUCUGAUGGUUAUCUUGCAAAGAGCAUUCAAAACAAUUAACCAAGUAAGUGCAAGGAAGCUUCAUAUGCCAUCAAGGAUUCCUUGACCACUUGUUCAUGUUAAAUCUCCAACCUCAAACUGUAUUCUCUUCCAGGUGCCUCUAGAUGACAUGGUCAGAAAUUUCCAGAAACCACAAAAAGAAAAAUUGCCUUUGUGCAAAUUAAGGCCAGUCAGAAGAGAUCAAACUAUUUUACCAAUGGCACAUUCAAUGCAGAGAUUCAUGGACAACCUCCUUGAAUCAAUGCCACAUGCAAAAGAUCUAAGAAAGAGAGAUGGUUCCAGCUUGUUCAACAAAUCUUCUCAAAGGAUGGGAAAAGAUAAAAAGAGUUAAAGCAACCUCUGUUUCUAGGUAACCAUUUUCCACGGAUUCAAUGAUACACACUUCAAGACCGCUGACAAAUCCUCUUGCAGGGAAACCAUUCCCUUAAAAUGCUAGUUAUUACUAUAUGAAAGAAGUUGACUUCCUAGAAAAAGUAGAUCUGCCAUAUCUGAGUGGUAUAGCCUCAUCUGGAUCUAAAAAUGAACAGAGGAGAACCAAAAACCAAAGAUGAUUUUUUGCAUCACUGAAAUGCUGUUAUCAGGAAAACAAAGAAGCCCCAACCCUUGAUCAGGAUUUGUUCUUCACCAAGACUCUCUUCAGCUACUGCUCCCUGCUGUAAGGAAUUCAUUGGUGAGGAUUGGAUUCAAUCUGUUGUUUGUUUGUGUUCUUGUUUCAAAGGCUCCUAAAUAAUGGCGGAGUUGGCAAACUGUACAUCGUGUUCUCUUCCUAAUCCACACCCUGUAGGCAUCCGAUGCUGGCUCAUGACUUAACCUAAACGCAAAGAGAAGAGAGCCGUGGGAGGUGGUGGGAAGCAACUGAUAGGGGCGAGGUUAGAUUUGUCAUAAAGAUCGUGUUCCAGACAAGACCACGUUUACACGGGGAAAUCCAACCACUAGAUUCUCCUACCGAUCCACGUUCACACGUUGUCGGCGCCGACCCGCCAUGGACCCCCGCUGCUGACCUGUCUCCCCCUGACGUCGCCACGAGGGACUUCGACGAACCGUCGUCUGAGCUAGCGGCCUCCUCCGCGUCCCCCCCC
rnacentral:lncRNA from 1 species